rnacentral:lncRNA from 1 species
AUAAGAACAAGCUGGAGCCACCUCUCUAACCUCCCACCCCACUUCAGUUUGUGCAGCCUGCUGAUACUCAGCUGCCAUGUUAUACUGCAUUUGGGGGGGAGGGUGAAGGUGUGAUCCCCCAAAUGCCCCAGAGUGGAGACCAGCAAACAAACUGCCUGACACGCUGCAGCAAGAACAGGGCAAUGUGGAACUGCAGCGUGAAUGUUAAGAGAAGAGCGGCAUGCUUGCUGGAUAAAAAGGAAGAUGGAAAUGGCAACAGGCUCCCGAAAGAAAGGAUAAAUCAAGUACAAAAGAAAUAUGCCCCAAAAGCCAUCCCAAGUGCCAUGAAUCCAUGUCUGCGUUGGAAGGAGCAAUGAAGCACUGCUUGGAGGAGCACUGUUACAAGGGUGUUGACAACUGCAUGAAGAGCAAACCCAAGCCCCAUCUGCCAAGAUGCUGUCUCCAAGCCAGCUCGGGCUGGCAAGAAGCACUACCCCAACCAAUGCUUCAGGAGACAUUAGCAUCAGCAGAGAAUCCAUGAGAGCCUGGAUACAACUGAUUGGUUGCAGGUUUGAAUACGGUGCUCACCAACAAAAGACUUCAGGCUACUUUAAGAAUUUAAAAUUGUUUUCCAGAGGCAGAAUAAACUGCUUAAAUUCAAGUACAGACUUGAACAAAUCGGAGAUAACAUGGGGACACAGCCAUAGCAACCAUCACCAUCUGUCCUGUCAAGUGGAAUUGUACCAACUCAAGGUUAACAAGGCAAGACCUCUAAAUAACACUCCUGGACCUGAAUUUCAGCAAAGUUCCCAUUUGGGCACCUACAUCAUUUGUAGGUGUGGGUGAAGCGUCUCAGCUGAGGUGCAGGGCUUAGCCUCACACAGGAUGGAUCUGCUCCAGCUUACUGCCAAGUCAACAACAAAACUUCCCACCAUCAGGGAGCAUCACAUCUUAAGAGCUCCAGGUCCCAUGCCAGCACAUUACAUAUAUAACAAGAGGAAUUUCCACCAACUACAAUGAAGGUCAAGGACAACAUGGUCCCAUCAACUCUGUUUUUAAGCUCUCCUAACUCUGUGCAGGACAGCUUCUUGUGAAUCAAGGCAACAGGUCUGUUGCAAGAGUUAAGUCUAUCUCUGAAUCAAGACAAAGUACAGAAGCCUUAAAAAAAAAAAACUCACCCGGCUGACAUAAAUGCUUCCUCUUCA